rnacentral:rRNA from 1 species
UGAGGAAUAUUGGUCAAUGGGCGGAGGCCUGAACCAGCCAAGUAGCGUGCAGGAUGACGGCCCUAUGGGUUGUAAACUGCUUUUAUACAGGAAUAAAGUUAGCCACGUGUGGUUUAUUGCAGGUACCGUUUGAAUAAGGACCGGCUAAUUCCGUGCCAGCAGCCGCGGUAAUACGGAAGGUCCGGGCGUUAUCCGGAUUUAUUGGGUUUAAAGGGAGCGUAGGCGGAGCGUCAAGCCAGCAGUGAAAUGUAGCGGCCCAACCGCUGCACUGCUGUUGGAACUGGCGCCCUUGAGUGCACACGAGGCAUGCGGAAUUUGUGGUGUAGCGGUGAAAUGCUUAGAUAUCACGAAGAACUCCGAUUGCGAAGGCAGCGUGCCGGAGUGCAACUGACGCUGAAGCUCGAAAGUGCGGGUAUCGAACA